CCCCGCGGGGGAUGGGCCCCAGGGGUGCCUUGGGGCUUGGGGCCCGGCGGGGAGGGUGGCAGUCGGGGGCGGGAGGCCGCUCCCCCGGGCCGGGCCGCGCUGCUCGCGUUCUCACCUCUUCCGGGCUCCCCGAGCAGGUGCUAGGCCCAGAGGCCUUCAGUCUUGAACCCACAGAACACUUUUAUGUGAAACCCUGUGGCAGACAAACCAGUACUAUGACAAGAGCCAACAUGACUGAAGAGCCCAUAGGAGCAGAGAUUGGGCCCAAUUUCCUGCCCCAAAGGAGAUGUCUCCCAGAAGGAAGUAGAAGGCUCAAGCCAGGAGAAGACACAGGACUGAUUCAAGGCUGUGGGUAUGAAGAUGGACUCCCUUUAAAUCAAGACAAUAAUGCAUCUCUAUCUUCGAGAACAACUUUUGUUUUCUGAAAGACCUAGGAUCCUUUGAACCUGGGAAGAACUACUUCAAGUUUUCUUUGAAGGUAAGCUCCCUCAAAACACUUAUUUGGAGAAAAAAAACAACAACAACACUUAUUUGGUGUUUUAUAGAAACAAAACUAGUAAGACCAAAAAAUUUAAAAAUGAGAAAAAAGGUUAAGAUGCACAUAAAAAAAGUGCCUAACAUCAUCUGUCAUUUAGGGAAAUGCAUUUUAAAACCACAAUGAGAUAGCACUACACACCCACUAGAGUGGCUAUAAUCAAAGAGAAUGACAAUAAUACUAAGGUUUGACAAGGAUGUAGAACAACUGGAGCUCUCACAUUGCUUUUGGGGAUGUAAAAUAGUACAGCCACUUUGGAAAACAGUGUGACAAUGUCUUAUAAACUUUUUAAAAAGAUUUUAUUUAUUCAUGCAAGACACACAGAGAGAGGCAGAGACAGGCAGAGAGAGAAACAGGCUCCAUGCAGGGAGCCCGAUGUGGGACUCAAUCCCAGAACUCUGGGAUCACGCCCUGAGCCAAAGGCAGACGCUCAACCGCUGAGCCAUACAGGCGUCCCAAUUUCUUAUAAAAUUAAACAUAUACUUAGCAUACAACCCUACAAUUCCACUCGUAGAUAUUUAUCCGAGAGAAAAAAAAGCAUCUGUCCACAUAAAAACUGGUAUGUGUUCCCAGCAGCUUUAUUCCUAACAGCCAAAAGCAAAAGCAAAAACGAAAACAAAGACAACAACCAAACGUCCAAAAUCCAGUGAAUGAAUAAAGAUAUGUAGUAUGUCCA
rnacentral:lncRNA from 12 species